CUUGGAAGACUACCACUGAACUCACAGUUACAUUAUAACUUUUCUGGGACCAGUCAGGAGAAAAAUAACAGGUUCCCCACCAUUUUCACACUGAAAAGGUGUUCAUAUCAUAAGAACAUUUUUCUAUUUAAUGUUUAAUUAAAAAUUUUCUUCUACGAAUCACUUUUCUAAUGAAGUGUGUGUAGCUGUGGAACUGAGCAAAACAAUUGUUUUCAUGAAUCCCCCCCCCCCCCAUCAAAGAUCCAAUACAGUGGUACCUCGGGUUACAUACGCUUCAGGUUACAGACGCUUCAGGUUACAGACUCCGCUCACCCAGAAAUAGUGCUUCAGGUUAAGAACUUUGCUUCAGGAUGAGAACAGAAAUCGUGCUCCAGCGGCACGGUGGCAGCAGGAGGCCCCAUUAGUUAAAGCGGUGCUUCAGGUUAAGAACAGUUUCAGGUUAAGAACAGACCUCCGAAAAAAAUUAAGUACUUAACCCGAGGUACCACUGUACUUGUUUUCACUUUUUCCACACUUGUUCCCACAUUCAAGCACUACCUCCGUUUCUUUCAAAUAAAUUUUUAAAAAUGAAGAUUGGGAUGGAAGAAGAGAUGAAUCUAAUUCAUUUACAGAUGUUGAUACACUCUCUCUUUCUUACUAGCUCGCCCCUUUUCUGAGAAGCGUCCGUUUCAACAGUACAAUGGAGGACGAGGUGCAUUUUGAUGAGGAUAGGGAGCUAGUGGCUGACUACGAUAUUGUGAAUUUGGUCACAUUUCCAAACCAAACUGCCAUAAGAGUGAAAGUGGGGAAGUUGGAGACCCAGGAGUCCUCAGGUCUAGAGAUGACUAUCGACGAAGAGGCCACUGUGUGGCCCAAAUGGUUCAACCAGGUGGGGAGUGUAUUUGUGUUUUGUGCUAAAAGUGAAUGUAAAAGCUGGUCUCAGCUGCAACCUCACAUUUGUUAUUUAAAUAUAAUAAUACUGUAUGGUUACUGGGGGUACGCAGGGGUACACAUACCCCUAAACAUUUUGUGAAUCUAAGUUUGGUCUCAUUGAGAAGCAGUAUUUCAAUGUGAGUAGGAAAAUGAGAGUACCCCUAAGCAUUUUUUAAAAAAGAAAAAAAGCAUUGGAUGUAGAUAUAGAUCAUUUUUUUAAGGCAAGAAUGAGGAACCUGAUCCAGUGGUUUGGACUCAGUCUGACCCUUAUGUUUUCCCUCCCCUUAUGGUUUUGAUAUAUGAGCUAUUUAUAAAAUGAGGCUGCAUUUUAAAUUGCAUUCUAACCUGUAUUUUAAAUUGGUUUUUUACCCUAGUAUGAUUUUACUGUAAUUUUACUGGUGUUAGCUGCCCUGAGCCCGGCUCUAGCCAGGGAGGGCAGGGUAUAAAUAAAAAUUAUCAUCAUCAUCAUCAUCAUCAUCAUUAUUCGGUUUUCUAAGACACAGACCCAUCAGAGCAGAAUGGUAUAGUAUCUACAGAGAAUGCAAGAGCUCCUAAAAUACUGUUUGUUUUCUUGAUGCCCUUUAGACAAGGCCCCAUUCCACAUGUUCAGAAAGCUGCCAGCCUGGAUCCAGCAAAGUGGUGCCAGAAGGACAGCAAAUUUGCUGCUAUAAAUGCAGCCCAUGCCUGGAAGGAGCCAUUUCUAGUCACACAGGUAAAACAGCUUUGAAGGAACAGCAGGCUCUGAGGGAUGAAGAGCAGGUUCACUGUGAAAGUAGUCAUGCUAGGUCUAAAAAGAGACAUUUGGAAAGAAAUCUCAAGACUUGUCAUGAGUUGUUUCAGUGGUGCUACACUGCUAAUCACAAAAUUGCAAUGGCAGAAAAGCUGUGCAUAGACUUCACCCCAAUUUGAUUUGCAGUCAUGACUUGUAAAUCUGGAUCAGACCUGAUUCAUUCCAGACCUGAUCUGACCUGCACUGGAUUCAAAUCCAGAUUGUGAUCCAGUAAAUACAAAUCUCCUGAAAAGCCAAUUGACUGCACUGCAAAACCAAAAUGGCCAUCGAUUUCUUCUUUUUAAAAAACAGAGACAUGAAAUUUUGAUCCACAGCAGCCCCUGCAGAGGGGAUUAGUUUGCUAAAUUUGGUGUCUGCUGGACGGUGUAGAAUAUACUCACAAUGCAGACAUACCCAAACACAAACACAAGAUUAAAUGAUGAGACAGACACAGAAAACCGAACCCAGCUGUAAAGAAACCUUAAACCUCAUAAACUCACUGUGCUUAUGAACUGCAGUACAAUUCAGAAUAUUGAAUAAAAUUACUAAAAAGAAAAAAAGAUGUUCCAUUUAGGUAGGGAAUAUAUUGAUGAUACAGAAAUUUCUGGGGUUUGAUGUACAAAAAUAAUGUUUUCUUUCAGAUGCAGAUCAAUGUCAUCAGUGUCCAGAAGAUCAAUACUCAAACAAUGAGAGGGAUCAAUGUUUUCCCAAGACUAUAGUCUUUCUCUCCUAUGAAGAACCCCUGGGGGUUACCUUGGUUUUCUUUGCCCUAUUCUUGUGCCUAAUCACAAGCACUAUUUUGGGAAUCUUCAUUAAAUACCAAGACACUCCACUUGUUAAAGCCAACAAUCGAAACCUCACCUAUACCCUCCUCGUUUCUCUCCUACUUUCCUUUUUGUCCUCCUUUCUUUUCAUCGGCCAGCCUCAAAAGGUUACCUGCCUUCUCCGCCAAACCAUCUUCAGCAUCAUCUUCUCGGUUGCCGUCUCUUCUGUGCUGGCAAAAACUAUAACUGUGUUUUUGGCAUUCAUGGCCACAAAACCAGGGAACAGAAUUAGCAAGUGGGUGGGAAAGAGUCUGGCAAAUGGCAUUGUCUUCUUUGGGUCUGUCUUUCAGUUUGGCAUCUGUAUUGCCUGGAUUGGAAGGUAUCCCCCCUUCCCAGAACUGGACAUGGAUUCCCAGGUCAGACAGAUCAUUCUCCAGUGCAAUGAAGGGUCCGUCACUAUGUUUUAUUCUGCCCUUGGCUACAUGGCUCUUCUGGCUGCCAUCUCUUUUACAGUUGCUUUCCUCGCCAGGAAGCUCCCUGGCGGUUUCAACGAAGCCAAGUUUAUCACCUUCAGCAUGCUGGUGUUUUGCAGUGUUUGGGUCUCCUUUGUGCCAACUUACCUUAGCACCAAGGGGAAAUACAUGGUGGCUGUGCAGAUCUUCUCCAUCUUGGCUUCCAGUGCUGGGUUACUGGGCUGCAUCUUCCUUCCCAAAUGCUACAUCAUUGUCCUCAGGCCUGAUUUGAAUACAAAGGCACACUUAAUGAUGAGAAGGAAAGAUUAAGGUUGUGUUUUUUUAUUAAAAAAAUAAAAUUAUUGAAUGAUUUUAUGUUACAAAAAAAUUACAACC